rnacentral:snoRNA from 1 species
UAUCAGAUAGCCAGCUGCCCUUUAUGGUUCUUCAUCCGAAAUUGAAACAGAAUUUAAUGCUUGUAGCCCUUCCUGUAUGGGCUGCAAGUUUGGCUUUUCUGUAACAUUU